GCCUUAUCAAGAGCGGUGGAGGGAUAGGCCCUAUGAAACCCGGCAACCAUAGUGUGAAUACACGUUUGGUGCUAAAUCCUACAGAAUAUUUAUUCUGAAAGAUGAGGA
rnacentral:ncRNA from 15 species